AAGACAAGCCCCGCCAUGCUGCCGCUGCCCCCACGGCCUCGCUUCCGUUUUGGGGCGGGAGCUGAGGAGGCCUCGUGGCCGCUGAGCCAAAACGUCUAUGGGGCCUGGUGCCCCUCACCCUCUUGCUCCCUUCCCCUUUCUCCUACCCCUUCCCCCACCUAUGUCUCCCCUCCUCCCAGCUCUCCCCUCUGAGCCCCUCACCCUUCCUUUUCCCUCCUCCUCCCUCUCCUCCUCUAUCGGGACCAUCAUCAUGGUUGGUCACUGUGAGUAGGACUUCGCCAGCCCACCCAGGAACCCCAGAGCCCUUACAACGGUCCACAUGCCCCGCCACCACCUUCUAGACCCUCAUCUCCGCAGUCCAUCUCCAGCCUCACUGUCCCUGGAAGAAGCCCCGCAGGCUCCAGCCCCAGGGCCUCCAUACACCCUGCACAGGCAAUUCUGUUCUCCCAGCUCCCGAGAGACAGAAGCUGACCCUGUUUUGCUUAUCGAUGUAUCUCCAGCACCUGGAAAAAUGCCUGGCACAUAGCAGGUACUCAAUAAAUACUUUACUCAAUCAGCUAAUUAACUCAUUAAUUAAUCAAGUAACUGAUCGAUUGAUUAAUUAAUUAAUAUCACUUCAUUGAAUUCCUUAAGGCCUUCAACAGCCUUCAGCUAUGCAGUUGCCUUUUUUUUUAAUGACUUUUGUAGUUCUCGGAAAUUAGCCAGUUAACUAAAAUCUGCGGUCUGCCUGGCCCUGACACCCUCCUCCACUUCCUUGAUACUGACCUGCCUUGACCAUCUCACCCAAUCUAACUCUGAUUCAUGACCAAGUCUUCAAGGUCCAAAUGUACGUGAUGCUUACCCAAGAGGGCUGCAAGGCCAUGGCUGGA
rnacentral:lncRNA from 1 species